rnacentral:rRNA from 1 species
AUACAUAUCAAUAAGCGGAGGAAAAGAAACCAACAGGGAUUGCCUUAGUAACGGCGAGUGAAGCGGCAAUAGCUCAAAUUUGAAAUCUGGCUCUUUUAGAGUCCGAGUUGUAAUUUGCAGAGGGCGCUUUGGCAUUGGCAGCGGUCCAAGUUCCUUGGAACAGGACGUCACAGAGGGUGAGAAUCCCGUACGUGGUCGCUAGCCUUUGCCGUGUAAAGCCCCUUCGACGAGUCGAGUUGUUUGGGAAUGCAGCUCUAAAUGGGAGGUAAAUUUCUUCUAAAGCUAAAUACUGGCCAGAGACCGAUAGCGCACAAGUAGAGUGAUCGAAAGAUGAAAAGCACUUUGGAAAGAGAGUCAAAUAGCACGUGAAAUUGUUGAAAGGGAAGCGCUUGCAGCCAGACUUGCCUGUAGUUGCUUAUCUGGACUUUUGUCCAGUGCACUCUUCUGCGGGCAGGCCAGCAUCAGUUUGGGCGGUUGGAUAAAGGUCUCUGUCAUGUACCUCUCUUCGGGGAGGCCUUAUAGGGGAGACGACAUGCAACCAGCCUGGACUGAGGUCCGCGCAUCUGCUAGGAUGCUGGCGUAAUGGCUGUAAGCGGCCCGUCUUGAAACACGGACCAAGGAGUCUAACAUCUAUGCGAGUGUUUGGGUGUCAAGCCCAGACGCGUAAUGAAAGUGAACGGAGGUGGGAACCCUUUGGGUGCACCAUCGACCGAUCCUGAUGUCUUCGGAAGGAUUUGAGUAAGAGCAUGGCUGUUGGGACCCGAAAGAUGGUGAACUAUGCUUGAAUAGGGUGAAGCCAGAGGAAACUCUGGUGGAGGCUCGCAGCGGUUCUGACGUGCAAAUCGAUCGUCAAAUUUGGGCAUAGGGGCGAAAGACUAAUCGAACUAUCUAGUAGCUGGUUCCUGCGAGU